GAACAAGAACCCACAGAUACAGGAAUCAUAGUGCAUCACAAGAAAAAUGACUAAAAAAAUAAUAAAUUCACACCUAGACACACAGUAGUAAAAUUGCAAUUAACUUAGGACAAAGAGAAGAUCAUAAAAGCAACCAGAGAGAAAAGAUAGAUCAUCCAUAAAAGAACACAAUUAGCUGACAGCCAGUUUCUCAAGAACACCAAUGGAGGCCAGAAGACAAUGUAAUGAAUGCUUCAAAUUACUGAGAGAAAAUAACUGUCUGCCUAGAACUGUGUACCGAGAACAAUGGUCUUUUAAAAACAAGAGUAAAGUAAAAAUAUUUACAGAUGAACAAAAAUGGAAAAACUUUACACCAGCAACAGGUUAUCUCAGGAGAAAGGCACAAGACUCUAGUAGGAAGAUCCGAUAUACAAGAAGCUAGGGAUGAAGCUAGGAAAAGCUAGGGUAAUCAUACAACCUGGCUUUGUGAAGGUUCUCAAAGUGUUGUGGCCAUAGGCACUCAGGCACCUGCCCUCCUCACCACAAACCACUGCCAAGAAGGGAUAGUAAAGAAAGAGCCCUAGAGGACAUUGGCAAGGCUGUCAUCUAACCCAGUUCCUGAAGAAGUUGAAACCAAACCAAAGAGGGCAAUAAGAAAGGGUCCAGCUUCCAGCAAAAAAGAAUUUACAAGUCAUGCCAAAAGGCAGAAAAAAUACAGAGACAGAAAAAGCCUCACAAUUGGACUCAGAUUGACACAGGAAUUGGAAUAAGUAAACUGAGAAUUUAACUAUCAUCAAUAUGUUAAGGGCUCUUGUGGAAAGUAUAAGACAACAUGCAUGAACAGAUGAGUAAUGUAAGCAGAGAUAUGGAAACUCUAAGAAAGAAUCAAAAGGAAAUGCUGGAAAUCAAAAGCACUGUGACAGAAAUGAAGAACACCUUUGACAGGAUCAUCAGUACACUUGACAUGGCAGAAGAAAGAACCAGUAAGUUCGAAGACCAGCCAAUGGAAACUUCCCAAAAUUAAAUGCAAAGUGAAAAAAAGAAAAACAUGCAAGGACUGUGGGACGAUUAAGGGUGUACUAUACAUGUAACUGGAAUACUAAAAAGAGAAGGAGGAAAGAAUGGAGCAGAAGAAAGACUUGACGUACUAACGGCCCAAGAACUUCCCUGAACUAAUGACAGACGGCAAACCAAAGAUCCAGAAGUCUCAGCAGGAUAAAUAUAUAAAAAAAAAUCUACACCUGGGCACACCAUAAUGAAACUGCAAAAAACUAAAGACAAACAAAACUUGAAAGAAGCCAGAAUUUGGAAAAAACUUACCUGUAGGGGAAAAAAGAUAGGAAUUAUAGCAGAUUCUUGUCAGAAACCACGUAAGCAAGAGGAGAGUGGAGUGAAAUAUUUAAAAUAUUGAAAGAAAAAACCCAUCAACCUAGAAUUCUAUAUCCAGCAAAAUUAUCCUUCACAAGUAAAGGAUAAAGACUUUCUCAGAAAAGCAAAACCUGAGAGAAUUCAUUACAAGCAAGAAAUGUUAAACUGUUCAGUCCUGAAAGAAAUGCUAAUAGAAGUUCUUCAGGGAGAAGGAAAAUGAUAUAGGUCAGAAGCUUAGAGCUACACAAAGGAAGGAAGAAUGUCAGAGAAGGAAUGAAUGAAG
ensembl:lncRNA